CCCAACAAAGUAACUUAUCGUACAAGCCAUCCGUCCAAUUUUUGGAACACGACCAGGAACCAGUAAUAAACGCGCAUCUCUCAGAACAGCUAAGGUUAUACGGCCCUCUUUUUCUAAUUGAUUUACUCGACAGAAAAGGCUCGGAAGAGUUAUUGAGUGCAGCUUACGAAAGGCACGUUUUGCGACUAAAUUCGGAAGAUAUCAGAUACUUGUCAUAUGACUAUCAUAGCCAACCUGAACGAGAGCUUAAAAAAUUUAAAUUUUUAUUUGCUUCGAUUUCUGAAAUCUGU